CGGGGAGCAAUUCAACAGGCUCCAGACCUGUGGCCAAUACGAGCUGCAGAGGGGGAACUGAAGGUUCCUGCCAGUGCUAAUGAUGCCAAUUGGAGCCUCUGGCAGAAGUAGGGUAGGAAGGAAGUGCCCUUAGGAUUUGGGAAUAGGAAGUUACUGGAAGCCAGCCCAAGAUAGACCCUGUUGGAGAAGCGGCUCUGAAACCUGUGGAUCCUGGCCAUCCUCACAGCCCUUGUGGUCCCUCUGGGCGAUGCUGUUGGCCCGGGCAGUUCCCUGGAAAAGGUGCCUGGGUCGGGUGCCUUGGUUUGAUUUGGAUGGAGAUGGAAAAGCAGCUCCAAACCAGGACCCCAGGACAAGGUGACGUGGGAAGCAAAUGGCCCUUGCCCAGGGGUCAGUGUCCCUUUGUGCCCGGGGGGACUCUCUGGCAGGGCCGGGGUCUGUCGGGCUCAUUGUGCGGGCGGCUGUUGGUGCCCUCAGUGGGAUUGGAUGGAUGUGAUUCCAGGGGCUGGGAGCACUGUUGCCAUGCAGUGCUGUAGUUUCCCUUACGGUGCCGGGUCCGGGGGGGUCUCCCUGGCAUCGUUGUCCCCCUGUGUGAGCGGUGCCAGUCCCAGCCCCAGUGUCACAGCAGCAGGGCCGUCCCCUGGGCUCUGCCUGCUGGGCUGUUCUGGGAAGUGCUGCCAAAAGAGCAAAGGGAUCAGCUGGGGCAGGGGAUGGCACAGUUUGGCACCAUC